rnacentral:tRNA from 1 species
CCUUCGAUAGCUCAGUUGGUAGAGCGGUGGACUGUAGCGAGCGAGAUAAGCGAGAGAAAGUUCUCUCUCGCGCACACUGUAGUAGUAAUCCAUAGGUCACUGGUUCAAAUCCGGUUCGAAGGA